UUGCGAACGCUCGUUAAAGAGGAUGUCGAGCCGCUGAUUUCGGCACAAUUUUGUGACGCAAAGCGCUCUUCCGUGUUCGUUUGGUUGACGUAUUCCAGAUGCUUCUUUUGAACCCACGCGGAAAUCUAUUCGGCAUCAAAUCUUUCAGGUUGGAUUGUGAACUUCAUGAUAAUUGGUGUUCACGUGGACUAAUUGAUUGAUGUACUUCGCUGAAAUUUCAUUACGAAUAGAUUCCUAGGACUUUUGACACGUUUUAAGCAUUUCCGACGUAUAAUAAGCAAUAUAUGAAAAGCUAUGUUUCGCAGAAGGCCGAGUAAAAAACCGUUUCACGAGUAGCGUUACUCUUCGAAUUGGUUUUAUCAGCUUUAUCAACAGUGAGCAUAAAUUUGCACACAUGAAUAAGGCUCACAUAGACGUUGUGCAAUAAAUUGUGGUCUGAAAUGUACAUAUAAAGUGGUACGAAUCGUUAUGUGAAUAGCGAACCGUCAUUCCGAGGGUCUCGUGACAAUACUCGUAAAGAGACAUAAAGUAGAUUGUGGGAUUCAGUGAUGAAACAUCGAGAAGUCAGAUUCCGUACAUAAGGUUUAACGAGUGUACAGAUCUUUAGUGCUUGGUAUUUAUCGUAGUGCUAGUCAGCUGGUGUGGCAAGAUGCCAUUGAUUUGAAACAGUCGAAGGUCAAGCAAAAAAAACAAUAUUAUGCUGAUGAAAUAUUGUAAGUUGUGACCGACAGAUAACACAACAAAUUUGAGCAGUUGGCUUAGCUGAGGUACAGCUCCGAGAUAACAAGAAAGCGAUAGACGAGGGUGCAAAAAUUAAAUACGAUUAAAUACGCAAACCAAUCACCAGUAUCUGCCACAAAUGGGUUAGGUAUAAGCACCGCUGUGCUCUCCCUUCGUUCCUGGAAUAAAUUCCCGUGAAAUGGAAGGAUUUUUCAGAACAUGGAUCCUUGUCACACCCAGAAACAGCAGCACAUAUAUAGAUUGUGAUAAUUAUCAUAAAUUCAAAUAUGGGGACCAUAUUCUGAUCGAGUGCUACAAUCUGGUUCUCCUACUAGAAAAGCAUAGAAAAGUACCUGGGACCUGAAUCGAACCGGGCGGCAUCUCUGCUAGAGGUGAUGCUGUUGAAAACUAUAGCGACGACAGCGAUGGUAAUCAAGAAAUCAGCAUAACGAAAUUGAAAGGAAAAAUACACUA